rnacentral:rRNA from 1 species
GACGAACGCUGGCGGCGUGCCUAAUACAUGCAAGUAGAACGCUGAAGGAGGAGCUUGCUUCUCUGGAUGAGUUGCGAACGGGUGAGUAACGCGUAGGUAACCUGCCUGGUAGCGGGGGAGAACUAUUGGAAACGAUAGCUAAUACCGCAUAAUAGUAGAUGUUGCAUGACAUUUGCUUAAAAGUUGCAAUUGCAUCACUACCAGAUGGACCUGCGUUGUAUUAGCUAGGUGGUGGGGUAACGGCUCACCAAGGCGACGAUACAUAGCCGGCCCGAGAGGGUGAACGGCCACACUGGGAAUGAGACACGGCCCAGAAUCCUUCGGGAGGGCGCAGUAGGGAAUCAUCGGAAAAGGACGGAAGUCUGACCGAGCAACGCCGGGUGAGUGAAGAAGGUCUUCGGAUCGUAAAGCUCUGUUGUAAGAGAAGAACGAGCGGGAGAGUGGAAAGUUCACACUGUGACGGUAUCUAACCAGAAAGGGACGGCUAACUACGUG